rnacentral:rRNA from 1 species
CCUACGGGAGGCUGCAGUGAGGAAUAUUGGUCAAUGGACGAGAGUCUGAACCAGCCAAGUAGCGUGAAGGAUGAAUGCCCUAUGGGUUGUAAACUUCUUUUAUAAAGGAAUAAAACGAGGCACGUGUGCCUUUUUGCAUGUACUUUAUGAAUAAGGAUCGGCUAACUCCGUGCCAGCAGCCGCGGUAAUACGGAGGAUCCGAGCGUUAUCCGGAUUUAUUGGGGUUAAAGGGAGCGUAGAUGGGCUGUUAAGUCAGUUGUUAAAGUUUGCGGCUCAACCGUAAAAUUGCAAUUGAUACUGGCAGUCUUGAGUACAGUUGAGGGAGGCGGAAUUCGUGGUGUAGCGGUGAAAUGCUUAGAUAUCACGAAGAACCCCGAUUGCGAAGGCAGCUUACUAAGCUGUGACUGACAUUGAUGCUCGAAAGUGUGGGUAUCAAACAGGAUUAGAUACCCUUGUAGUC